AAUUAAUUCAGAUAAAACAAACCAACUUGAUCUGCUUUGAUUAUAUGAUUUUUGCCCUUUUCGUUAUCUACAAUAUAUCACAUUUGUUUUCAAAGGCAAUCCACCAACAGAAUGUAAAAGUUGUGUCAGAAGCUUGGAUGCACUUCCACAGAGUUCAAAUGAAGCUGAGCAUGUGGACCCAAGGACAGAAUUUGGCCCACAGUUCAUAAGAUAAUAUUAAAAAUCAAAUUUAGUCCUGGUAUAAGUGAGUAUAACACCCAUUAAAUUCAAUGAGAGUUGCAACCAUUUACAGCAAACUAAAUUUGUCAUAGGGCCUGAUUCUCCUUUCACUUAAUCCAGUUUAAAACCUGUGAAACCCUGUUUAGUUCUGGAAUUACUCUUGAUUUACACUAGUGUGAGAGGAGAAUCAGUCACUAUAUCUUUUUUAUGUCAGACCACUGCAGUCCCCCCACAAUGAAGUGUGUGAAGGCUGGCAUGGCAUUCAGUUCAAAGGAUUUCAGUGAUAACUGAAUUAUCUGGGUUUUUCCUUAUUACAUGGGAAUAAUAAUACAGGUGCGGUAUUGUUAUACAGCCCUUUGAACAUAUAAAGGGCUAUAACCAUGAGAAGUAAUAUUAUGAAUAAGAUUGGAAACAUAUUUUUGACACUUGAGGGCUAGAUUCAGUAAAACUCUGUUCAGCUCUGGGUGGCCUGGGAACUCAAUUUUCAGCACUGCUGUGCCACAAAACCCAUAUAUUUGUAUCAAGUCUAACUCCCGUAAAACAGCUGAGAGAGAUUUUAAAAGCAGCCCUGGGUACUGUAGCACUGAAAAGAGGCAGCAUGAUUUUCAUCAGUUUUAAGGAAGAUGAAAAAUGUUCUCAUGCCACUUCCAUAAGCAGAAGUAUUAGACUGUGAUUUCCUGAUUUCCAUCCUAAUAGACACAACUGCCUAGUGUUGUGACUGCGGUGCCUCUGAUUAACCAGAAUUGGUCCCCCAGCUGCAUCCCUGCUGAGGCCUUUGUGAUCAUCAGCGCAGAGAUCUGUUAACGGUUUCCUUCCACUUCAUCUCAAGGACUGUGCAGCCUGCCACUACAUCCAGCUGAGCCAUUUUGUGUCUGCAUGCUUCCAUCAGCUGGAGCCAUCAACAUGGAUCCCAACCUGCUGGAAGAACUUUUUCACCUUUCACUGUCAGUCCUAUUUUGGGAAUAAGGCAGAACAUCUGCGAGAUGCUGGUGGGCAUUUUGGGAGCAGUUUUUGAACUGCCAAAGGCAUCUUGGAGGAUACUGACAUGUCAGCUAUAACCUAGCUGAUGUUGUUCAUGCCUGUUGCUUUAGCUGCAGUUUCCCCCUAUACAGGCUGUGCUUCUGGAGCAGGGCCACAAGCACAGACUAGUGGGAUCACAUUGUCAUGCGGACUUGGGAUGGCUAAUAGUGGGUCCAGAACUUUUACAUGAAGAAGGAGGCAUUCCUGAAGGUUUGUGAUUAGCUUGCCCCCAACACCACCAUAAGGGAGGCCUUGCCAGUCCAGAAGUGAGUCACUAUAGCCAUCUAUAACCUGGCUACCUCAGACUGCUACAGAUCCAUGACUAACCAGUUUGGAGUUGGCAAAUCAACUCUUGAGACUGUUAAAGCAGAAAUUUGUGAGGCAGUCAGGAUUGUGAUGUAGCUAAAGAUGGUGGGUACAUUUACCCAAAUGUUCCUGAAAUAAUUACUAUCUUUGAGAGAAUGGACUUUCCAAGCAGUGCAGGGGCCAUUGAUGGGACUCAUGUGCUUAUAGUUUGCCCUCUGCAAAGACCAUGUGAGUACAUAAACCACAAAAACUGCAAAGGGUCCUACUCCAUUGUUAUGUAGGCCAUGGUUGACCACAGGGGCAGAUUCAUGGAAGCUAAUGUGGCACGCACGGGGACUCUAUCUUCAUAGACAAGCUGGAACAUUAUUCCUACUGAAUGACAUUGUUAUAAAUGAAGUCACGGUUCUCACUAUUCUUCUAAGGGGCUCCGCUUAACCCCCGUUUCCCUGAUUUCAGAGGAUCUGGUAAAAGGAGAUUUGACUACACACUCAAUAACUGUAGGAUAGUGGUGGAAUGUGCAUUUGACAGAUUGAAGUCCCAUUGGUACUGUCUUCAAAACUGUUUGGAUAUAUAGUCGGACCUUUCUGUUGGGAGACUAUUUUUUUUAAAGUAACUCAUCAAUGCAGUCUGCAUUACUGUGGCCUGAUUUGUUCUGCACAAUGUCUGCUGGAUUUCUGAAUUGUUACACACUGCCAGAAAGUGCACCUGACAUGACUGGUACUGGAGCCACAUGCUCAAUGGAAAUCACAUAUGUCCCCACAUAAUGAGUUUGCACGGUCCUAUGCAUGAGGGGGAAUGAAAUAGUAUUUGAGAUUGUGUUGUGUAUGGAUGUGGGGUAGUUGUGGGAUUUAGAAAAAUGUAUUGGUAUUAUGAAUUAUGAAUUUUGUAAACAUAUUCAUGGAAUGUAUGGAGAUGUGUUACACACUUUGUCAAUACUGGCCAUGUACUUCAGCUCACAGUUUACAGAUUAUUGUGAGGAGAGUUUGUAAGUUUUAUUAGGAAAUUUUUGAGAAUAGGCAUGUGAUGACAUUCGUUACAGCUUGUGCCACUUUUAACAUUACAUAUAAUAAAACUUGCUAUGAAUCUA